rnacentral:misc_RNA from 1 species
AACAAGGCGUACCUGCGGACCUGCGGAAGGAUCAUUAAUAAAUGUUACUUCGGUAACUUAAUUAAUCCCUAACACCUGUGCAUCUUGUCGCUUCGGCGUCAUUUUAUAAACAUCAGUGUAAUGAAUGUAACGUAUUAUAACAAAUACAACUUUCAGCAACGGAUCU